rnacentral:rRNA from 1 species
AGAGUUUGAUCAUGAGCUCAGGACGAACGCUGGCGGCGUGCCUAAUACAUGCAAGUAGAACGAUGAAAUCUGGUGCUUGCACCGGAUGGAUGAGUUGCGAACGGGUGAGUAACGCGUAGGUAACCUACCUCAUAGCGGGGGAUAACUAUUGGAAACGAUAGCUAAUACCGCAUAACAGUCUUUAACUCAUGUUAGAGUCUUGAAAGGGGCAAUUGCUUCACUAUGAGAUGGACCAGCGUUGUAUUAGCUAGUUGGUGAGGUAACGGCUCACCAAGGCGACGAUACAUAGCCGACCUGAGAGGGUGAUCGGCCACACUGGGACUGAGACACGGCCCAGACUCCUACGGGAGGCAGCAGUAGGGAAUCUUCGGCAAUGGGGGCAACCCUGACCGAGCAACGCCGCGUGAGUGAAGAAGGUUUUCGGAUCGUAAAGCUCUGUUGUAAGAGAAGAACGUGUGUGAGAGUGGAAAGUUCACACAGUGACGGUAUCUCUACCAGAAAGGGACGGCUAACUACGUGCCAGCAGCCGCGGUAAUACGUAGGUCCCGAGCGUUGUCCGGAUUUAUUGGGCGUAAAGCGAGCGCAGGCGGUUUGAUAAGUCUGAAGUUAAAGGCUGUGGCUCAACCAUAGUACGCUUUGGAAACUGUCAAACUUGAGUGCAGAAGGGGAGAGUGGAAUUCCAUGUGUAGCGGUGAAAUGCGUAGAUAUACGGAGGAACACCGGUGGCGAAAGCGGCUCUCUGGUCUGUAACUGACGCUGAGGCUCGAAAGCGUGGGUAGCGAACAGGAUUAGAUACCCUGGUAGUCCACGCCGUAAACGAUGAGUGCUAGGUGUUAGGCCCUUUCCGGGGCUUAGUGCCGCAGCU